rnacentral:lncRNA from 1 species
UUCAUUCAGAUUAGAAAUUCAAAGUUUCUGAACCUUUUAGGGAGUCAUACCGCACAUAUGUAGUUGCUGAAAUUGCCAAGUAUUAGGCCUUUGAAGAAGUUUUCCUUAAUGGCUUGGAUAAGCCUUGAUGCAAUUGAGUUGGCUUGAGUAGCCUUGAGAUGCAAUUGAAUUGGCUUGAGAAGCCUUGUGGAAAACAAGUGGCUCGAUAGUAGCCUUAACAUGAAUGCGUUGUGAUGGCUUGUGGGGAAACCUUGAGACAAAUCGUGGGUUUUUUGGCCUAGUUGAGAAUAGGCCUUGAGUAGGCUCUUAGUUGCCUAGUUGAAGGUACUAGAGUCUUUCCUCACCUGGUGGAUGGUGUUGGCUUGCAUGGGCUUGAGUUGCCUAUUGAGAUAAGAGAAAAAUUGUGAAAUGGGGCACACGUUGUAUCGUGUAAGUCUUGAGGGACAUAAAUGACUAAUGAGUGCACCUUUAUUUUGGUGUAGGAGAGCCUCAGCGGGGAUAUGAGCAAGUGUGUGCUUGAGUAGUGUCAAAGUACACCUGAGUAGCAUUCAAGUGUGCUUGAGUAGCGUUGGAGCAGGUGAAUGCUCAUUUUGAGGCAAUUGAGUUCGAGAGCGCUUGACUAGCGCUGGAGCCAAUGAAUGCUCCUAGAGGCAACAAGCUAGAGUGCACUUGAGAAACGUUGGAGCAAGUGAAGUGUCCUCUUGAGGAAAUUGAGUUUGAGGGCACCUGAGUAGUGCAAGAGUGCGCCUAGGUAGUGUUGGAGUGGUUGCAAGCUCCAUCUGUGUUGGCCAAUGGGCCAUUGCGAUCAAGAUAGGCUUAGAAGGCCUAGCGAGAUUAAAUGGUCAGAGGACCAUUCAAGAUUAUGGCAUGGUAAGCCAAUUUUGUAUUUUGUGUUGUGCAGGUCAACGAACCUAUUGAGUCGAGCAAGGCAGAUGCAAGCCAUGAGUUUGAGUCGAGAUGAGUCGGAGGACCCUUGAGUUUGAGUUGGUCGGAGGACCAUAAGUGGAUUGAUGGAUCCUUGUGUUUUGGAUAGGGCUUAGGAUGCCCUUAUUCACGAUGAGCUACUACUACAUGAAAUUUGUGGAGCUAGUCCAAGCAUCACCAAGUUUUGAGCUAGAGCUGAUUGAAGGGUUAUUGAGUCUGAGAGCUUGAGCAAGAGAACAAGUGAGGGUGUCUUGUUCGUGUUUAUUAAAGCAACCUGUGAGAUUGUACGAAGAAACGAGCAGCGUGCCAGAGUUUGCGUGAAUGAGCAUCAAAGUCUGAAAUUGAGAUCAAGCUAGAGUGGUGGUGCCACAUGUGUCACGGUUGGCCAAGAUGGCCACACCUUGUGGGGUGACCAUAGAGGGGUUGAGAGGGCCUAAGUUGGGGAUGACCAUGUGUCUAAAUUUCCUAUGUUGAGAACUUGAGUUUUGGUGCCACAAGGAGUGGUUGGCAUAAACCACGUCCAGAGGGACGCAUCCAACCGGAUGCCAUAAGAGUGCAGUUGGUGCCACAUCUAGAGGGGUGCAUCUUUAGGUAUCAAAGACAUGGUAAUAUUCAGUCGACAAAGGGUCAUACCAGCGAGGGUUCCUCAAGGUCGUAACUUGAUGAUUAUGUGUUGUGGCAUUGAGUCUGAGCGUUUGGUGGAGGAAUGGGCAUAUACGAGACUACACCAGCGAUUGAGAUGAGAUCAAAUUUGAGUCUAUGUCCAAUGCGCGUUGAAUGGAUCAUAAUCUUAGGCCUUGAGGGCCCAAGAUGGACUUGCAACAGAAACGUCAACUCAAUGCAACAAGGUUUCUAAAGGUGUGGCUCCAUGUUGAUGAGGGCAUCGACAUAGUAAGUGGGGGGAGAGUGUCCUGGUCCGCAAGUUACCAUGCUAGUUAUCAAAGUUGAGCUUUCCCCAAAUGGUCUUUGAGUGAAAUUAAAUUAAGUGAUCAUUUACCUUAGUCCUUUCAGAGAUUAAGAAAUAUAAAUUAAAUACUAAAAUUACAUAUAGAUUUUAAUGCGGUAAAGUUGCCAUAAUUUUAUUCAGAUUAGAAAUUUGAAAGUUUUUGAACCUUCUUGUGGUGAGUCAUAACUUACAUAUUUAGUUGCUGAAAUUGCCAAGUAUUAGGUCUUUGAAGAAGUUUUCCAUAUGUUUCUCAUUUUACGAAUCUAUCCAGGUGAGAAACUCCCAAGUAGAAUGUGCUUGCUGGCUAUGUUAACAUUCUCAUAAUUGCAUUAGUGUACAAGUUUGUUGCUUGUGGGGAGUUUUUAACAUAAUUAUUUAGUUGUUGAAAUUGCGAGUAUUAGGCUUUUGAAGAAGAUUGACUUAUGUUUCUGGAUUUACCAAUGUAUCCGGCUGAGAAAUUCUCAACUGGAAUCUGUUAACUCUCUUAAUUGCAUUAGAGUACAAAUCAGUUGCUUGUGGGGAGUCAUAACAUGCAUAUGUAGUUGUUGAAAAUGCUGAAUAUUAGGCUUUUGAAGAAUAUUGACUUAUGUUUCUUGAUUUACUAAUGUGUCUGACUGAGAAAUUCUAAACCAAAAUGUGCUCGCUGGUUAACUCUCUCGUAAUUGCAUUAGUGUACAAGUCAGUUGCUUUGUGUUUGUUAGUAAAUUCAAUUUUAUUGAAUGAGAAAACUCUAAUUCCAUUCCCUGUCCAUGUAUUUCCUAAACUUCUCUUUGGGAAAUUUUUUUGUUGUGUGUUUCGUGUCAUGUUCAUUGUCUAGCUUGAACAAUCUAAUGAGGCCAUAUCUGAAACAUUAUUACAUCUGGUAUGACAGGAAUUUUUUGCACUGUCUUUACCAGGGCUUGCAGGCAUGCUGCUUGCGCAUGCUGCUAAGACCGUGUUCUUAACAGGUGAGACCCACUCUGAUUUAUCUGUCAUGCUGCUUUGUCACUUUGGCUUAGGGUUAGUUUAGCAAUGCUUUUGAAAAGUGCUGUGGAAAAGUGCUUUUGACUUUUGAAAAGUUUGGUUUAAGAUUUGAGUGUUUAGCAUUGCUGUCAAAAAGUGCUUUUAAGAAAUAAAUAUCCAUUUUAGACAUAGUAUUAUCAAGUAACAAAUAUGCAUUUAAAUAAUGUUCAAAUUAGUUAAUAUUAUUAUAUUUUAGUAAGAAUAUAAAAAUAGUUUAUUAUAACUUGUUGUUAAUAUUUUAAUAUAUGAAAUAUAAAUUUAAAAUAUUUUUAAGCCAUAAAUAUUAAUUAUUUAUAAAAUUUAAUUAGAAUAUAUAAACUAUAUUUUAAAUAUAAUCAUUAAAUAUUUGUAAUUAGAUAUUAACACAUUUGUAUUAUUUUAAUUUUUUUUAUUUUUAAUUAAUAAUUUUAACACAUUUGUAAUUAAGCACAAAGAAAAAAAAAAGGGAAAGUACCAUGUUGUUGGAGGGGUGAAAAAGUAAUUAAGCACCACAAGUGCUUUUGGAGGAGAAAAAGCUAAAAAUUUUAGCUUCUCCUUUUCAAAAGUACUUUUCAAAAGCUAAAAAAUUCAGCCAAAAGUGCUUUUUUGAAGCACUACUAAACAAGCCCUUACUCAGAUUACCUGUUACACCCGAUUGCUUCAGCUACUUAGGUUAUGCAUUAUUGCUGACAGACCAUGGUGACCAAAUCCUCGAAAACUGUCUUAAGAAUGUUCAACUUAAUUCUGGAGUCCUUAAUCAUCAGAAAGUAGUUUAUGUGCGUGAACUUGAUUGGACUCACCCUUGGCCUCCUAAAGUUAGCUCAGACCUGGCAACUCAAGAAAGGUGAUUCAUUUGGUUUCAUUGCUGGACUUGUUUUAAGAUAUAGAAGUAUUUAUAUUAUUUCCAUUUAUGAUAUGUACUUAUUCCAUGGAGGAGAUAAGAGCUCAGCCCUUUAAAUUUUAAAUGGUUAAAUCCAGGUUUUCAUGGAGCUCCUCAGAACUUGAAGAAGUCCAGAAAGCUUCUCUGCUUUUAGCUGCUGAUGUCAUUUACAGUGAUGAUCUUACAGAUGCGCUAUUUGGUAUCUUAGAGAGAAUAAUGUCGCAAGGGUCUGAAAAGGUUGGUUAACAUUGUUAAAAUGGUCGCAUACCAGUACAUGGUGUAGGUAAUAAUACACUAGCGGAUUUUACUAAAGAGUGUCAUUAUCUGCUGUUUUUGUAUAUGUCACAUGAUUUAGGUUUUUGGAUUAACCCCGUAGUUAGUUUUCUUGCAAAGCUGAUGAUUGAACAUGUUACCAUAGGAAGAAAAUUCAAAGGGAGAUCAUGAACUUAAUGAAAAUUUUCUUGUUCCGCUGAGACUUAUCCACAUCAGAUGUUAUAUCUGGAUGGAUUUCAGUUGCCUGUGCAUUUUUAGGCAACGGGCUGAAUUCUGUUACCUAUACUAGUUAAUAUAUGAUAAGGUUUCUACCAAGUUGUAGUGAUUGCGGAUUACAUUCUAUGCUUAUCUCAUUUGUUCACAUGUGUGUUAGUCCUCAUUCUCAUCUGCUUAGAUAAUGUUCUUUGAGGUUCCCCAUAUAUCAAUAGGACUAUCAUCGUGUGCAUUCCUGUGGUUUUCAGGUGUUAUACUUGGCACUGGAAAAACGCUACAACUUCAGUCUUGAUGAUCUUGAUGUUGUAGCAAAUGGUUAUUUAAAUUUCAGAAGUUACUUGAAAGAUGACAGUGGUAGGUAUAUUACAAUGCAAAAAAUGUACAUGCCGCCAUAAGUUUCUUGUCUUCUGGGUUUUAUUCCUGAUGUAUCUUUACAUUGAAUGAUGCAGAAUGUGAAGGCCUUGAGCUCGGUUCCUUGCCUUGUUUUAUGGGUAAAUGUAUCGAUGUUGCAGAAAUUCCACAGUAUGUGGGAGGAUAUGACCGAGGAGACGAUGUUGAGCUUUGGGAGAUUAGAUACAGUAAAGGAAAGCUAUAAUUGAAAGGUAUACAAAAUUUCUAAUUAUGUGUUGCCGUUGAUAAUUUUUGUUGGUUACUUUGUAAUUGUACUAUUUGAAACACCCCCAUUCUAAAUUCAUACAAUACCACAGUUGAAAGUGAGGAAUUUGUAGGUGAAUUCCAUGGACUUUCCGGCUUGGGCAUCACCACAGGCUUCUAAAUGAAGAUUUUGGGAGAUGUGAAGUCGAAGCACCGUCACGUUAGGGCGAUGGGAUCGUUUUAUAUAUGCUAAGAUUAGAGCUCAAGUUUGAUUUGAAAUGCAGGUCUCAAAGCUCAAUACUAGCUUAAUCAAGUUUUGCUUUUAAAUCUCGAGCUUGGUUUGAGGUGAAAAUUUGAAUUGCUUGAGCUGAUUCGGUUGAACUUGUUUAGUUAUUUCCCAGGCUCGUCUUCAAGAUUGGGUCGAGUUCGAUUAGAUAUUUCUCAAUAUUAAUUAAAAACAAAUACUCAAAAUCUCUGUUUAUUGGACUCUCUUUACUUGUCUAAUGUAGUGGUCUUAGGUGAAAAUAUACAACAUUUUUCUACCUAAAAAUUGGUACCAAAAACAAUGUUAUAGAGGCCUAAAUAUAAAUAUAAAAUAAAUGAUUAAAUGUGUUAUAAUUAUAAACUUAAAUGCAAUAUGUGGUAGUACAGAAAUAAAUGCAAUGUGUAUGGAGCAUCUCAUGUUUAAACAUUUUAUAGGGUAUUUAUUACCUUACUUAGUGAGUUGCUUUCGUGUUAAUUAAAUAUAUUGUACUAAUACCUCCAUUAUAUUAAAAUUUAUAAAGAGACUUGAACAUAAGAUACAAAGAAUUUUAAUAAUUUCAAUUAAAACUUUAUAUUUUCAUAUAUAAUUUUUUAUUAAAUAUGCUUAUUAUAUAUCUACUGUGUUAACCAGUUCCUUUUUACCUUUUAAAAGCGGAAAAUAAUAACAGAAAAACCAAAUCUUUGUGAUUAGAGAUGCUUUAAAAGAGGGCUGUUGCCAGCUGAGAUGAUAACUCCCACACCGCUAGAUGAUGGUAUUGGAGCAAAACGCUGGAGUAUAAAUAAAAGGCAAGCUGCUACUUUACAAUAUACUUACCUGGACGGGGUCAAUGGAUGAUCCUGAAGAUCCAUGGCCUAGGGUAGUGACCUCCAUUGCACUUGGGAGGGGUGCUACCCUAAGGUCUCCCCAAGUUGGGAGAGCCUACGUCAUAAUUUGUGGCAGCGGGGGCCUGCGUUCGCGCGGCCCCUACCCAAUUUUUAAGUUUUAAGGAUUUUACUGAUCACAAUCUUUUGUAAUUGGUGUUCUGUCUACAAUCUUUCAUUUGGGAGCUUUUGUUUAUGUUGUUUGGUCUGGGUUGGGGAAAUGAUAUCCCAAAUGUACAGGAUCUGCAGGAGUUUGCAGUAAAAGCUGAAAAGAUCCACCAAUGUUCCGACUAUUUAAUAUCUGUGUUUAGCACUUGCACCUAAAAUAUUACCAUCUAGCAACAAAAGCUACACUACAGAAAGACCAUUAUUGACCACCACUUUAUAAAUGUUGCAGUCGAUGGAAAAAUCGUGCUUGGAUUGUCUGAUAUAGACCAUUAAACCCCUCAAAGAAGCUUAACUGCUUCUUCCCAAUCAUGUCUAUCGUUUCGAGAACCUUCUUUUCCAUCCUUCACCUCCAUAACGAUGGCAGGUUCCUGUUGCAAUCAUGUUUAUUUUCAACAUGUUAUUGUCCAUGUAAAAAAAAUAAGACAACUGGUAAUUGAUUCAACUGUAUGCCACUACAAUUCAAAUUCAUUGGUUCAACGACACUUUAAUCCAAAACAACAAUUAUCAUUGGAAAUGGAACUAAUAUAGGUAGCUUCAAGGACGAGUUUUUUAAGCCAUUCCAAGUUUCUUUUCAUCAAACAAUGUUACAAUAUUGGAGAAGAUAUCAAAGAAAACAUAAUUUAAGUGGAGAUGUAUAAAAAAAAAACCUAAUGCUGGUGAUUUAGAUCCAGUAAUUAAUUAUAUAAAUAUAAAUGAUUAAAUUUGUCAAAAUUAUAAACAUGAAUGCAUUAUGUGUAUUGAACAUCUCAUGCUUAAACAUAAUAUACAUUACUUAUAUUAUUUUCGUGCUUAUUAAAUAUGUAGUAUUAGUGUAGCUUAAUCACAGUUCUUUUUUACCUUUUAAAGAGGAAAACAAUGACAGCAAAAAACCAUAACUAUAUGCAUUGGGAAGAGACUAACUGAGUGUACCACAGAUCCCACACCGCUAGAUGAUGGCAAUGUAGCAAAGCGCUAGGUAUAUAAAUAAAAGGCAAGCUCCAACAUUACAAUAUACUUACCUGGACGGGGUCUAUAGGUGAUCAGGAAGAUCCAUGGCCUAGGGUAGUGACCUCCAUUGCACUCAGGAGGGGCGCUCCCCUAAGGUCUCCUCAUGUUGGGAGAGCCUACGUCAUAAUUUGUGGCAGCGGGGGCCUGCGUUCGCGCGGCCCCUUUCCAAUUUAGAAGUCUAAAGCUUUCAUUGAGUUAGUUUAAUUAAGAUAUUUGUUGACUUCUCACGUAUGGUAUUGUUGUCUUCUGCAAUGGCUUGUUAACAUAUAGAGAUUAUGUUUACGAUGUUUAAAAGUACAUCGUAUAUGUUCAUCAUUAUGCUAUGGGUUUGGCAAAUGAACUCUCAAAUGUGAAUGUUUUGUAAAAGAUUCACCAUUGUCACAGACACCUGCAUUGUGAAUAUUGAAAACAAGUGUAAGAAGUCUGAACUUAUUUUCCUCAACACAGGCAUUUAAAGUUUGAUCAGAGCUUGAUGUCUUCUGAUCCUUUGUCAACUCUCCAGGAUCAAAUGUAGAUGAAUAUACAUAUAUGCAAGGGUCUGUUUAACAAUCUGAUGUGCAAAGAAAACCUUCUGAUCUAUGUUAGAUCGAAAUCACACAUAUCCGUGUCUAGUACUUACACGUAAAACAUUAGCCGGAACAAAAGCUACACUGGAGAAAGGCCAUUAAUGACACUAAUGUUGCCAUUAAACCUCUCCAAAAGGUUAAUUGCUCCUUCCCAAUCAUAUCUACUGUUUUGAGAUGCUUCUUUGUCUUCUUAAACCUCCAUAACCAUGACAGAUUCCUAUUGCGUUUUCAGCAUGGUCAUGUCGAACAUAUACUCGAAUUCUUUCAGCUAUUUUCAAACAGAAGCUCAUGAAUUUUACCUGCAAUGCACUGUUAAAACACGUCUCUCUGAUAAUGAAACGAGCCAUUGCAACCACAUGUUCUAUUCAAUAUCAAAGCAUCCUAAAUACAGAACUGGUGAUCGAUUCGACCAUAUGCAUCUAAAACUCGAAUCCAUCAGCUCAAUUUUUUCGUGCUUAUUAAAUAGUUCAAAUUCAUAUAACUACUUAAAUUAAGUCUAUAGCGAUUACCUAGUGCUCUUUUAGCUUUAAGAAAGUGAAACUAUAGUAAAAAACAGAAAAGAAUGUGCUUAGAUAAACCUUCAUAAGAGGGCCUGCAGACUGCUUGACAUGAACCUCAUUUUUAUAACUUUGUUUAAUUCCCACAUGGCAAAGCGAUGACAAUUGAGCAAGACGCUGGAGCUACAAAUUAGAGGCAAGCUCAUACUUUCAAACAUACUUACCUGGACGGGGUAGAUGGAUGAUCUGGAAGAUCCAUAGCCUGGGGUAGUGACCUUCAUUGCACUUGGGAGGGGUGCUCUCCUAAGGUCUCCUCAAGUGGGAGAGCCUACGUCAUAAUUUGUGGUAGUGGGGGCCUGCGUUCGCGCGGCCCUAACCCAAUGUUGAAGUUGAAAGUUAAUGUGGAGGAGUUAAAUUCAAUGAAUGGGAUUUCCUUAAUUGCUGAAAGAACUGAAGGAUUUAAACUAGCCAUUUCAUCCUCUUUCUAUUAAUCAAAGCCAUCAUGAAAUAGAACUGGUAAUGGAUUCAACCAAGUGCAUUUGCCCGACAUUUUAAUCCAAAAGUAAUUGUAUAUCAUCCGAAGCUGAACUAGUAUAUGGGUUGCUUCGCUGAAUUCAAGUUUCUUUUAAUCAAACAUUGAUGUUGCAAAACAUACCAGAGAAAACAUAAUUAACUGCAGAAAAUAAAUAUUAUAUGUUUCUUACAUUACUUUUGUUCUUAUUAAAUAUAUCAAAUUCAUAUUACUAUUAAAAUCAAGAGUUCUAUAUCGAUUAACUAGUGCUUGUUUACUUUUACGAUAAUAGAAAACAGAAGAGAAUGUGUGAUUAGAAUGGCUUCACAAGAGCCUGCUGAGUGGAUGUUUCUUAAUUCCAACAUCGGUUAGAGAAGACAGUCGAGAAAAUAAAUAAAUAACUUUUCACCUCACGUAUUAUGUUCACCAAGAAGAUUUAAUUAGUUACCCAAUUACUAAGAAGUUUUGUCAUUCAUUCAUCUAUUAUGCUUGUGCCAGUUUUUUGUUUUCUAAAUAAAAUUUUGAUGAACCUUCACAUUUGAGUAUAAACAAAUGGACCCAAAGCCCAAAGAGAUAAUACAUUAACAUCAAAGAUACUAGGACCAACCCUAGCCCAACAAAUGGGCCGAACUCUAGCCAACUAAACCAUCUACUGCUGUUGUCGCUGCAACUAACAGCAAGGGAGAGAGGAGGCGUGGCUGAAAAAGCCUGAACAAUUGGAGCAACCGUACUCUCAACCAGGGAUUUAAAUUGCGGUCGCGGUCGCGUUUUCGGUCGCAUUGCGUUUAUCGUGGUUGCGGACAUAACGGAUGCUAUUGCGGUCAUUGCAGGUAUCGCGGUCGUGAAUUUUACAUUACUUAUUGUGUAUUGCGGGUAUAGCGGGUUUCGGCAGUAGCGGUUUCGGACGGUGCCGUUACCGCUAUAUAACGGCCGCUAUUUCGGUAACGGACCGC